UUAAAUAAAAGCUACCUAGUGAAAGUGUGAUUACUAAAUACGUUGAUGUCUGUUAAUACAUUUGAGUAUCUUACUGUUUCAUUUAACGUAACUAGGUAACAACAUAUCUCAUACACAAGUAGGAUCUACUUCCAAAAGCGUAAUAACACUAGUGUACGUGUGUAACGACUCUUGACCAAUCAUCGUGUUUGUGUAUGUUUACAUAAAGUAUAUUAGUAAGAUGAACAGAGUAUAGAGACGUCUUGUUUUCUCGGUAACUUGUUACAGUGCCUGAAAGUGCAAUACCGAUGUAGAAAAAUUCUGCCGAGUUUCGUACUUUGUGCCUAUAGUAUUCUGAUUCUAUAUUACACUGUAAAAUUUCUUUGUGUAUCUUUAUCGGUUGUUUGUGUUAGCGGCCUACUUCCAGAAGAACUUGCUUAGACCCUGAAGUUGCAAUCGUCGUUUCCCACGACGGUUAAUACAUUUUUUUUUUUUUUUUUUUUUUUUUUUUUUUUUGCCAGAAGUUGUGUAGUAACAGUAGUCCUACUGCUCAAAUUGCUUUCAGCAAACAUGUUCAUGCAUCCAAAACUUUUGCAUGUUCAGACUUAUAAGAAUGACCGUAUUUGGAAGAAUUUACUGUCAGUUUUACAGGUAGUUAUGAAUUAAAGUGACAGAAUGCAGGCUUGUGAACAGUACAAUCUGUUUUUGCAUCGGAUGUUUCUGACUUUUCUGAAAUGGAAAACCAAGGAAGAGAAGACAAAAGUAGCAUUGUAACUUAUGGGUGUGCCUAGCCUUCGAUAGGUGGCACUAAAACCACAUAUAUGUGUCAUAGAUAUGUGAUAUUCAAAUCUCAAUCAAAAGGCGAGAGGCUGCUGAAGUUGCAAGGCAAUAACAAGAUGGGAAGCCAUCACACUGCUGCCAUGAACAUCUGCCAAAAUAAAAAGUGGAAUUUUAUUAUUGUUUAUUUCAAGACACAUUUUAGCCACAAACGGAAUGAAUAUUGUUUCUGUGCACCUAACCAGACAUUAAAAGGAGUUCACUGCUGGUGAUAUUGACUUGUGAGAAGAAUGGCUGAUAAAUCCAAUUACAUCCUGGAACAAUGAAUCGUUAAUGGAUUUCAUGAACAUCUGCACUCUGGGAAAAAGUUGCUUUGCAAGCAAUCACAGGAAAUUAACAUCCCAUUAACGAGCUUACGACAACAUAUGCUAACAGGUUUAAACCUCCAUUACACGCACCACGAACUCCGUUAUUGUCUGAAGCAGCAAACUGAGGUGCAGAUCGUCAGUCAACACGCAUGCAGUCUUGUGAAUGCAGCUCUUCUGUACAUAGUGUAUUGCAGUAUUUUCAGAAGAGUGGUGGAUGAUAAACAGUUGUUGAAAUGGCUGGAUGAAGAGUUUGCUAAUGAAGAUUGUAGUGAUGCAGAGUCAAUCUUCAAAACUGAUCACAAUUCUGAAAGUGAGCAGUUUCUGGACAUAAAUGACAUUAUCGAUAAAUUUGACUCUCAUGUUGGGAAAGGUGGUAUGCAGUGCAGUCAUCGACCUCUGACUCAAAACACGUAUAUAUGCCAGCUUUGUUGUACUUCUAGAAGCUAGAAUUUCUAGGCAAGCAUUAUACAGGGUGUUACAAAAAGGUACGGCCAAACUUUCAGGAAAAAUUCCUCACACACAAAUAAAGAAAAGAUGUUAUGUGGACAUGUGUCCGGAAACGCUUAAUUUCCAUGUUAGAGCUCAUUUUAGUUUCGUCAGUAUGUACUGUACUUCCUCGAUUCACCGCAAGUUGGCCCAAUUGAACGAAGGUAAUGUUGACUUUGGUACUUGUGUUGACAUGCGACUCACUGCUCUACAGUACUAGCAUCAAGCACAUCAGUACGUAGCAUCAACAGGUUAGUGUUCAUGACGAACGUGGUUUUGCAGUCAGCGCAAUGUUUACAAAUGCGGUGUUGGCAGGUGCCCAUUUGAUGUAUGGAUUAGCACGGGGCAAUAGCCGUGGCACGGUACGUUUGUAUCGAGACAGAUUUCCAGAACAAAGGUGUCCCGACAGGAAGACGUUCGAAGCAAUUGAUCUGCGUCUUAGGGAGCACGGAGCAUUCCAGCCUGUGACUCGAGACUGGGGAAGACCUAGAACGACGAGGACACCUGCAAUGGACGAGGCAAUUCUUCGUGCAGUUGACGAUAACCCUAAUGUCAGUGUCAGAGAAGUUGCUGCUGUACAAGGUAACGUUGACCACGUCACUGUAUGGAGAGUGCUACAGGAGAACCAGAUGUUUCCAUACCAUGUACAGCGUGUGCAGGCACUAUCAGCAGCUGAUUGGCCUCCACGGGUACACUUCUGCGAAUGGUUCAUCCAACAAUGUCUCAAUCCUCAUUUCAGUGCAAAUGUUCUCUUUACGGAUGAGGCUUCAUCCCAACGUGAUCAAAUUGUAAGUUUUCACAAUCAAUAUGUGUGGGCUGACGAGAAUCCGCACGCAAUUGUGCAAUCACGUCAUCAACACAGAUUUUCUGUGAACGUUUGAGCCGGCAUUGUUGGUGAUGUCUUGAUUGGGCCCCAUGUUCUUCACCCUACGCUCAAUGGAGCACAUUAUCAUGAUUUCAUAUGGGACACUUUACCUGUGCUGCUAGAAAAUGUGUCUUUACAAGUAUGACACAACAUUUGGUUCAUGCACGAUGGAGCUCCUGCACAUUUCAGUCGAAGUGUUCAUAUGCUUUUCAACAACAGAUUCGGUGACCAAUGGAUUGGUAGAGGCAGACCAAUUCCAUGGCCUCCACGCUCUCCUGGCCUGAACCCUCUUGACUUUCAUUCAUGGGGGCAUUAGAAAUCUCUUGUCUAUGCAACCCCGGUACCAAAUGUAGAGACUCUUCGUGCUCGUAUUGUGGAGAGCUGUGAUACAAUACGCCAUUCUCCAGGGCUGCAUCAGGGAUUCCAUGCGAUGGAGGGUGUAUGCAUGUAUCCUCGCUAAUGGAGGACAUUUUGAACAUUUCCUGUAACAAAGUGUUUGAAGUCGUGCUGGUACGUUCUGUUGCCAUGUGUUUCCAUUCCAUGAUUAAUGUGAUUUGAAGAGAAGUAAUAAAAUGUGCUCUAACAUGGAAAGUAAGCAUUUCUGGACACAUGUCCACAUAACAUAUUUUCUUUUGUUGUGUGUGAGGAAUGUUUACUGAAAGUUUGGCCGUACCUUUUUGUAACACCCUGUAUACCAUGUAAUAGUGUUACAAUAUCGUUAUUGUCAUCCUGGCCAUCAAUGGAUUACAGUUACGGUUUUCGGGUAGUGGAAUACAUAUCGCAGAGCAGAGUGAUACAGACUUUUCAGAACAAACAGACUUGGUAGUUGAAGAACUGUCACAAACAACAACAUCGAGUACAAACAGAGAAUACUACAUCAAGAUAUGGUACACCAAGGAAAAGAAAGUGAAGUGAAAAAGGAAAUUAUUCAAGUGCACUUCAGUUGAUUACUGAAAGACUGCCGUCCAAUACUAAUGUCGAUGCAGAUACAUUUGUUAAAGAUUUGGCUGUAAGAAUGAAAGCAAUUAAAAGCCAUGAAAUGAUGAUUAACCUCAAAUACUAAAACUUGUGUAUGAUGCUGUAGAGUCAAUAAACAUGCAAAUUACGUA